AGGACGAACGCUGGCGGUGUGCUUCACACAUGCAAGUCGAACGGAGUAGCAAUACUCAGUGGCGGACGGGUGAGUAACACGUGGGAAUCUACCAUUAGAUGGGGAAUAACAGGCCGAAAGGACUGCUAAUGCCGCAUAUGUAUGUGCCUCGACAGGGGCGUAUAUGAAAGGAGUAAUCCGUCUGAUGAUGAGCCCGCGUCCGAUUAGCUAGUUGGUAAGGUAAAAGCUUACCAAGGCGACGAUCGGUAGGUGGUCUGAGAGGAUGAUCACCCACAAUGGGACUGAGACACGGCCCAUACUCCUACGGGAGGCAGCAGUGGGGAAUUUUACGCAAUGGGGGAAACCCUGACGUAGCGACACCGCGUGAGCGAAGAAGCCCUUUGGGGUGUAAAGCUCUGUCAACAGGAACGAAAAAAAUGACGGUACCUGUGGAGGAAGCAUCGGCUAACUACGUGCCAGCAGCCGCGGUAAGACGUAGGAUGCAAGCGUUGUCCGGAUUUAUUGGGCGUAAAGAGUUCGUAGGCGGUUUGUUAAGUCUGAUGUUAAAGACCGGGGCUCAACCUCGGAAAUGCAUUGGAUACUGGCAGACUGGAGUGCAGUAGAGGCUAGUGGAAUUCCCAGUGUAGCGGUGAAAUGCGUAGAUAUUGGGAAGAACACCGGUGGCGUAGGCGACUAGCUGGGCUGUAACUGACGCUGAGGAACGAAAGCCAGGGGAGCAAAUGGGAUUAGAUACCCCAGUAGUCCUGGCCGUAAACGAUGGAUACUAGGCGUAGUGGGUAUCGACCCCUGCUGUGCCGCAGCUAACGCGAUAAGUAUCCCGCCUGAGUAGUACGGCCGCAAGGUUG
rnacentral:rRNA from 1 species